UCAUGAAAAUGAAUGGUUUGGCUUCACCCAAAAUGAUGGAUAAUCUUCCUAGAAGAGUGUGACAAUGAUGGACAGACAUCUUCUGUGUGAAGAGGGUGUUUAAAAUACCAAAGGAGAAACAAAAUGGCUAUCAGAAAAGGAACAGCAUAGGAAGAUGCAGAAGACACCAUGCAGAUGUUGUUUCCCGGGAGCCUGCACUUCAGUAACAGUCACUAAAAACCAAAUCCUGGGAAACACUACACAAUAGAACAAACAGGCCAUGUGCUUAGGGGGGAAAAUACAAUGUGC